rnacentral:rRNA from 1 species
CCUACGGGGGGCAGCAGUGGGGAAUAUUGCACAAUGGGCGCAAGCCUGAUGCAGCCAUGCCGCGUGUGUGAAGAAGGCCUUCGGGUUGUAAAGCACUUUCAGCGGGGAGGAAGGCGUUAAGGUUAAUAACCUUGUCGAUUGACGUUACCCGCAGAAGAAGCACCGGCUAACUCCGUGCCAGCAGCCGCGGUAAUACGGAGGGUGCAAGCGUUAAUCGGAAUUACUGGGCGUAAAGCGCACGCAGGCGGUCUGUCAAGUCGGAUGUGAAAUCCCCGGGCUCAACCUGGGAACUGCAUUCGAAACUGGCAGGCUAGAGUCUUGUAGAGGGGGGUAGAAUUCCAGGUGUAGCGGUGAAAUGCGUAGAGAUCUGGAGGAAUACCGGUGGCGAAGGCGGCCCCCUGGACAAAGGCUGACGCUCAGGUGCGAAAGCGUGGGGAGCAAACAGGAUUAGAUACCCCAGUAGUC